AUUGCUCACCUGCCUGGGCCUCAGCCCAUGACCAAGGAAACUUUUGCCCUCCCUCCCCAGGAGCUCACUUACAGGCCAUCUUCAAAGGUACUGCCUACCUGAACCUGCCUUGUCCCAAAGGACACACUUCAAUCUGGGGAGAGUUUAAAGUUGUAGACAUAUCCAUUUUCAUUUAAGGAAUAUGAAGAUCAGGGAGGCAAAAUAUAGAGAUAUAGAGAGGAAAAACUGAGAGAUGAUCAGAAAUUCAGACGCAUUCGGAAUGAGCACCCUUGACCAUACCAAGAACAAAGACUCUAUAAAAAUGUGAAGUCUUAUUAUUGUUCAUCCAUGUUCUACGUGGGAUCCACCCAAGACAUUGAAAACUGUACAGAACAGGGUGAAAUUGAAUCAGAUCAUUCUGUACUCCUAACAAGGUCCACCCCAUGAGAGACUUGCAGCAGAAUUAAUGACACUGUAUAUUUUCCUCUACUAACAACAACAAGAACAACAACAACAACAAUCUAGGAAAAUCAAAGGCAGCCCGACAUGGAAAAAAACACAAAAUGAAUAUUUGGAUUACAAAUAGUGUGAUGGGAAGAACACACUGCCAAAAGUCCACCUAGUAUGUUGAAAUUACUGUUUCUAGCACA